rnacentral:tRNA from 1 species
GGGAGUGUAGCUCAAUGAUAGAGUGCAUACUUAGCAUGUAUGAGGCCCUGAGUUCAAUCACCAACACCUUAA